rnacentral:rRNA from 1 species
CGCGUAGGCGGCCUGGGCAGUCCUGGGUGAAAGCCCCGGCUCAACCGGGGAAGGGCCUGGGAAACCACUGGGCUGGAGUGCUGGAGAGGGAGGCGGAAUUCCUGGUGUAGCGGUGAAAUGCGUAGAGAUCAGGAGGAACAUCGGCGGCGAAGGCGGCCUUCUGGACAGACACUGACGCUGAGGCGCGAAAGCCGGGGGAGCAAACAG